UCUGAAUCUGCGAACGGCUCCGCAAACCAGUUGUAAACUAUAGCAAGCAGGUCCUUUGCUGGCCCUCACGGGCUGGCACUGGGCGAUAUGGAUAACCCUGGUAAUUCUGAGGCUAAUACAUGAGCGUAAACCCUGGUUGACCGGGCUUCGGCCUGGGAUUCUGGGGGGCGUGCGAUUUCAGGCUUGGUAACUCCGGGAAAGGGCGCACGUCCAGACCGCGCUAUAAAGGUCAGUCUCCCUCGGGGGGCUGCCCCAGCGGCUCUUGCUGUGUGCUUCUGACCUAUCAACUAGACGGCAGCGUAAGGGACAUGCUAUGGU
rnacentral:rRNA from 1 species